UACAGAGGUCUCAAGCGUUGUUCGGAUUCAUUGGGCGUAAAGGGUGCGUAGGUGGCGCCGUAAGUCAGGUGUGAAAUUUCGGAGCUUAACUCCGAAACUGCAUUUGAUACUGCGGUGCUUGAGGACUGGAGAGGAGACUGGAAUUCAUGGUGUAGCAGUGAAAUGCGUAGAGAUCAUGAGGAAGACCAGUGGCGAAGGCGGGUCUCUGGACAGUUCCUGACACUGAGGCACGAAGGCCAGGGGAGCAAACAGG
rnacentral:rRNA from 1 species